GCCUUAGUAGCCCAAUUGGCAGAGGCCCAUGAUUUAGGUCCAUGGUGUUGAAGGUUCGAAUCCUUUCUAAGGUA
rnacentral:tRNA from 1 species